UACGUAGGCAGCGAGCGUUGUUCGGAGUUACUGGGCGUAAAGGGCGUGUAGGCGGUUCUUUAAGUUUGGUGUGAAAUCUCCCGGCUCAACCGGGAGGGUGCGCCGAAUACUGAGGGACUAGAGUAUGGGAUGGGAAAGUGGAAUUCCUGGUGUAGCGGUGAAAUGCGUAGAUAUCAGGAGGAACACCUGUGGUGUAGACGGCUUUCUGGACCAUAACUGACGCUGAGACACGAAAGCGUGGGUAGCAAACAGG
rnacentral:rRNA from 1 species